rnacentral:lncRNA from 1 species
GGCUUUUCCACCUGGACAAUUCCUCCCUCCCCAGGUGGAAGGUGGGGGGGGUUGUGCUUCUCCCUGGGCAGAAGCAGCACCACAGCCCCUUUGUCCCCUUUGCCAGAGGCUUCAAGGGGCAGUGUCCCCCAGUGCACCCCAAGCAAGCUCCCCAUCUGACAAGGGAAGCCCUAGCUCAUUCCAGAAGCAUCAGAGUCAUCCUUCACAUUCACCACCAUGCUGAGCACCCAGAGGGGCUCAUGCCUCCAGUGUCAGACAGGAUUGAGAUCCAGGCUGUCUGGCUCCGGGGUCUCAGACCUCACACUCGACUUCAGAGGGAGUUCUUGCCUGGGAGUGCCUUCAAAGCAGAAUCCCUGGCCACUUUCCCCUGCGACAUUUAGUCCUUUAAGGAGGCCGUAAGCAUGUUGACCUGCCCCAGAGCCAGUCAUGCCCUCACAUCCCUCAGGACGGCCCACCAUGGCCAUGCACAGGCCAGAGAACAGCCUUGUUGUUGGCGUCAGGACUGUUGGCAUCAGGGUCCUACUUGUCAGGUUAGGAACGUGGUUCCUUUACCUGCACCUCCAGGUGAUGCUUUCUCCAUCCUUAGAAACUGAAGGCCUAGGUCCCUAAAAGUAGUAGCAGCAGCAGUAGUAGCAGUAAUAGUAGAAGGAGGAGCUGAAGACCUCACAAUGAUCAUUGCCCAGCCACAUGAGCCAGCCCGUCCUAAGCAUGGAACACACACUGUCAAAUUCUCACACCUCCUUUUGGAGCGGGUUCUCUCAAUUCUCCCAUUUACAGAUAAACAAUCUGAGACUCCAAGGGGCUAAAUGAUUUGCUCAAAGUCAGGGUAAGUGUGAGAACUGGAGCUGAAACCCAGCCUGCUAGACCUGAGCCCCUGACUCUCAACCUUAAGCCACGCUGUCUCCCAUGGAUCCCUCCAGGGCCACGCAGUUGGUGCUUAAUAAUUGCAUACUGCGUGGAGGUGAGCUGGGCUCUGGGUGUGGCCAGGUGGUGUCUCUGGAGGGCUCAGCAGACCUUUCUCAGGUAGGUGGUAUUAGACAGUGGGCUCAUGUGGUCCUGAUUCAGAGGCGGAGAACGGGAGUGUUUCAGGGAUGCACGUAUGAGCCUGGUCCUAGCAUGCAUCUCUAGGUGGGGACAGACUCCUCUCAGCUGCACCAUUGCCCAGUGAUAGUUCCUCCUGCCCUGAUGCUGUCACACCCUUGUCAUUCUGGGGGAUUAAACUCUGCCCUCUGGAUUUGUUCAUGGGCAGCUCAGUAACACAAAGAAGUCAUUCAUAAAUUUACUUUGCUUUCGACUGCCCUUUUGUGGUAACGUUGGUUCAAGGGAAUCCUGUGAUUCCCCAAAUGUGGGGAGCAAAUCGAGUCACCGUGAGUCACCUCCCCAGGCUGAUAUCUUCUCUGGCAUAUGUGGCCAUGGGGGAGCCAGGAUGGGUCUCCUUCCUCACUCCAUCUGCUCACUGGGUCUUGGUCUCAGGUGCCUCUUCCCUUCACUGCCUGUCUUUUAUUCCUGUCUACCCUCUCCUCAUACAGAAAUUGGGAUUCCUCAUACAGAGAAAUGGAGUGAUUGCUCCUGAUUGCACAGCCAGGAGGGCCGUACACUGGAGCCCCUCCCGCUGCAAUUAACUUAUUUCUGCCCCUGCGGUGUGCGGUUCCUGGAGCAACGCCUGCCGCCUGCUUCUCUGCCCCAUCCUCUGUGAGGAAGGGUCCAUGCUGUUCCUUUUUCUGUCUGAAAGAUAUGCUCAUCUGCCCCAAGUUGUGUGAACCACCGACUCUGUGCUCCUUCCAGGCCCCGACCAGUGUGUUUGAGCAUUAAAGCUCGCAGGUACAUCAAAGGUGCUCAGUAAAUGCUGGAUAAAUCAAUCCAUGCUUUCCUGGGCUCUUCUGGUGGGCAUGCAUUCUUUCAGCUAAGCGUCCCUGCCAGGGGAGUGAUCGGUUUCCAUGGGGCCAGAGGAGGAAAAGCUGGUUGACCCCUAUCCUGGCCAUUCAGAGUCAUUUCCUACUCCUUUCUGUGGCUGGAACCAGAAGAAUAUAUCUCAGGUCUAAUAGGGUAUGAACUGCAUAAAGCCUGGGAUUUUUGUGCAUUCUGUUCAUGACGAUGUCUCUAGCCUGUUGAACAGCCCAUAGUAGGCACUCAGCAAACCAACAGGAACUGAGGGGGUCAAGGAAACGCCCUGUGAUCCCCCCGAAUCCGACCCCUCUGCCUUUGCCCACAUUUCCUCCAUUAAAACACAGCCUAUAUCAAUGUGGACCUGGGAGAAAACUGGGGUGGGGGAGGACUGUGCCUCUCUUGACCUUUGUUUACAAAAAAUAAGUUGGCUCCUAGACCAGUGUCUGAGCCACACUGCCCGGGACAGCCCUGAAACAGCCACGUCCCCACCUUUCAGGAGUCGGCCAAGAGCACGGUGGUUGCAGAAGACCCUGGCUGAUGGAGAUAACAUUUGACAAACAGGUGCUUUUCCAAUUAUGGAUAACAACAGAAAAGCAGUCAUUGGUUUCUAAAAGGUCAUCAAGAUAUAGAGCCCGUUUGGGAAGGGAAUGACUUAUGCAGUGGGCUUGUAUAAAUCUGGAGAAGUUUUAUGCGCAAGUCAGACAAGAAAUGUGUUUUACAUAUGGCUCGGGAGCCAGCAAGUGCUAUGAAGCCCCUUCACAUGGCUAGUGGCAUCCUGAGGGCCCGGCGACAAUUAGUCAUGGCGUCAUCGAACACCAGGCUGGAGGAGGUCUUGGAUGCCACAGCUCCUUUUGAAUUUCAAAGAAGUUCAAAUCCCCAUCUGGCUGUUACACUUUUAGGGUAUUGAGAGUGAAAACAAGCACUGACAUGAACACCCAACCAGCUGCUGGUGACAUCAUCCCCUUCUGAGAUCUGAGGACAUGAACACCCAACCACCUGCCAGUGACAUCGCCUCCUUCUGAGAUCUGAGGACAUGGACACCCAACCACCUGCCGGUGACAUCGUCUCCUUCUGAGAUCUGAGGACAUGGACACCCAACCAGCUGCUGGUGACAUUGUCUGCUUCUGAGGUCUGAGGACAGACACUCACAUAGACACCCAAUCAGCUGCUGGUGACAUCGUCUGCUUCUGGAAUCUGAGGGUUGGAACACAUUGGCCUGGCUCAGUGUUUCUCCAUGUGGUUUUGACACCACCUGAGUUGGAAUCAAUGUGGGUUCCCAGCCUCAUGCCUGGAGAGUUGGAUUUUGCGAGUGUGAGGUUAGGUCCAGCAUCUGCAUGUGUAACGAGCUCCCAGGUGUUUCGUAGAUGCAGUAGGGCUUGAGAAGCUCCUUUCUAGCACCAUCUUCCCUUUUGCGCAUGAGGGAGUUCAGGUCCAGAGAAAUAAAGCAGCAAGGUUAGUGGC